UACGGGAGGCAGCAGUGGGGGAAUUUUGGACAAUGGACGCAAGUCUGAUCCAGCCAUGCCGCGUGUGUGAAGAAGGUCUUCGGAUUGUAAAGCACUUUAAGUUGGGAGGAAGGGCAUUAACCUAAUACGUUAGUGUUUUGACGUUACCGACAGAAUAAGCACCGGCUAACUCUGUGCCAGCAGCCGCGGUAAUACGGAGGGUGCAAGC
rnacentral:rRNA from 1 species